UGUGUCUGUGUGUGUGUGUGUUUGCUUGAGUGUGCGCGCUUGCGUGUAUGCAAUAAGAGAGGUAGGGGGGGGCCUAAGGUUGCUUACAGAGGAAUCUAAUCUCGCACUACGCCUCCCUGGUUGCCGAGUGUGUGUGUGUGUGUGUGUGUGUGUGUGUGUGUGUGUGUGUGUGUGUGUGUGUGUGUGUGUGUGUGUGAUGUUGUAGCCACUGUCGCCUUAGCAGCAAAUAGAGCCUUCAGUGGCGUACUAGGGCUUAUCUUAGUGGUGGUGAGCAGGUAGUGAGGGCCAGCGUGUCCUCAGCGUGGUGUGUGGGUGUGAAUGUCGGGUAUGUGUGGGUGGCAGUGAGGGAGAGGAGCGUCAAGGGCACCGUUGAUUAGGAAAGAUGCUGCCUGCCGGGGGUUUCAUCCUUGAAGCACUUUUUCCCUCCGAUAAAUAUUGCAUGAGCAUCACAGCCUCGCCACAGGUUGAGCUGGAAGUUUCACAGAGUUGGUCGUCUGUUUGUAAAUCUUCCUACAGCUCGAAAUAAAUAUUUGGGUAGCCGCUGAGUUUAUGCACCGCGCCAUGUGUGAAGUCCUGCACCGAGACUUUUUCCGUUUCCUGCUUCAUAUUUCUUGUGAAUAUUUUUCUGGCUCAAAGCAAACCUUACUUUUCCAAUACAUUACUGGGACCAGGACGCGCUGUGAACUGUGCGAGUGUGGGAGAAACACCACCACCACCACCACCACCACCACCACCACCACCACCACCACCACCACAGCCUCCUACGGGACUCGCCUCAACAUGUCCUGCCUGCUUCAGUGCCGUCUCGCCGCCGCCUCUCUCGUGGCAGCGCCCGGCAGACUCCCCUGGGACGUCUCGCCCUUAUAUAUCUGAGCCGCCGCCGUCCUUUCUUCAGAAGUUUCUCCAGCGGGUUUUGGUAUUUCAAGACCCUUUGAUAUUUUCUGGUGAGAGACGCUGGUUCCUCCCUCCCCGAUGGCUCUUGUUUGCCUCCUCCCUCAGCCCCUCCCUCUCACCCCCGUCCCCUCAGCUCCUGCCGUGUCUGCAGUGCCUCAGAUCAUCCCGUGCGCUUCUCUUCAGUUCAUUUCCCCGUGUGCCUCUUCCCAGUUCAUAUUCUGUACUGGUGUCUGGUUCGCCUCUUUGAUUCUCGCCGCCACCAGACAGCGGCAUCGACUUCUGCAGGCUUCUUCACUUACUCCACAGCGGCUCUUUAAUUCCCCAGCGAUAGAAUACCCUGCUGUGUGAGUGGCGACCGUUCAGAGCGACGCCCACCCGAGAUACGAGUCCUGCCCAGCCACGGUAAUUGUUCGCUUGGUCAAGAUUGGAGUACCUGUGCCCGCCUUCCCCUCGGUUUGACAGGU